rnacentral:lncRNA from 1 species
AUGGUGGGGACCGGGUGUGGGUGGGGGGCACCCCCAGGGGCUGUCCCCGGGGUCCCCCCCUCAGGGCGCUGCUCUGCCGCAGGGACGCCCGGCUGGAGGGGACCCCCCGGCUCCAAGGGUGACACAGGGGGACGGGGACCAUCGGGAAUUCCUGGAGUGAAGGGUCCAGUGGGGCCACCAGGUCCCCCCGGCCCCCCAGGACCACCCGGCCGGGAUGGAGCCAGGGGGCUCCCCGGAGAGAAGGGGUUACCCGGGCCCCCCGGCCCCCCGGGCCCCCCUGCCCCUGUGGGGCCAGUGAUUCCCCGGCUGGCCGAGCCCAGGGACCCCCUCCUCUCCAACACCUUCACCGAAGCCACCAGGAGCAUCGUGGGUCCCAUGGGACCCCCCGGACCCGUGGGGCCGAUGGGUGAGAGCGUACCCCCUUCCUUUGUCACCCCCCAACACUUUCAGGUGUCCCCAUGUGGGGCUGAGCUGUGUCCCCUCUCCUUGCAGGUCCCCCCGGCCCCCCAGGUCCCAUUGGUCCCCCUGGCCCCCCAGGACCCGAUGUAAGUGCUGGGGUGGGGGGGCACGGGGAGGGCUGAACCCCGCUGUCCCCCCAAGGCUGAUGGCCCCAACUUUGUCCUCGCACAGGGCAGAGCAGGAGUGCCUGGAGCUGCCGGGCCCCCUGGGGAGAAGGGGGACAGGGUGAGUCCCCCCAGCCCCGCACUGUGACACGAGCCGGGGGGGUUGGCUGUGUCCCCCGGCUGCUGACAGGCUUUGUCCCCACCGCAGGGUCCCCAAGGCCACCUGGGCAGCCACUGGUGUCCUCUGCGGUGGCCGUGCCGGGCUGGGGUGACAGCGUGGGGGGGCUCGGGGGGGCCACCUCUGCUCCAGACACCCCUUUCCUGCCGUGCUGGGUGGCCCCAAGCCGCUGGCCCCAGGGUCCCUCAAUGGGGACAGGCAGCUGGGACCCCGCCGUGGGGCGUGGAUGUGGGCAGCGUCCCCAGGAUUGUGCCCCCCGCUCCAAAGCCACCCCCAGCAUGGGGCUGGGGGCCAUGGGGGUGUUUGGGG